GACGAACGCUGGCGGCGUGCUUAACACAUGCAAGUCGAACGGAAAGGCCCUGCUUUUGUGGGGUGCUCGAGUGGCGAACGGGUGAGUAACACGUGAGUAACCUGCCCUUGACUUUGGGAUAACUUCAGGAAACUGGGGCUAAUACCGGAUAGGAGCUCCUGCUGCAUGGUGGGGGUUGGAAAGUUUCGGCGGUUGGGGAUGGACUCGCGGCUUAUCAGCUUGUUGGUGGGGUAGUGGCUUACCAAGGCUUUGACGGGUAGCCGGCCUGGGAGGGUGGCCGGCCACAAUGGGACUGAGAUACGGCCCAGACUCCUACGGGAGGCAGCAGUGGGGAAUAUUGCACAAUGGGCGGAAGCCUGAUGCAACAACGCCGCGUGCGGGAUGACGGCCUUCGGGUUGUAAACCGCUUUCGCCUGUGACGAAGCGUGAGUGACGGUAAUGGGUAAAGAAGCACCGGCUAACUACGUG
rnacentral:rRNA from 1 species